CUCUCUUUAAAAACAAAUUUAUCAGCAUAGCUGUUAUUAUUUAGCCUGUCUAUUGUAAACAUAUGUUGUACAGAAUUGAAAAAACUGUUUCACUAGUUUCUGACUUAUGCUAAACAAUAUGUAUGUGGUUCUUUAGCUGAUAACAAUAGAAGCAGACCAAGAUAAUAUGCAUUUCACAAUUGCGUCAAAUGAAAACAUAAACAGUUACAUUAGAGAAACAGUACUACCGUCAAUAAUAAUAAUAAUAAUAAUAAUAAUAAAUAACCGUCAACACCGGUUAAACCAUAUUUGUUUACAUACUUUGUUUUCAUUUAUUUUCUGUUAUUUCAAUGAGCAAGCACUAACCAAUGUCUAUCGUAAACAUGUGUUGUACAAAAUAUUAGGCUUGAAAAUCUGUCUAACCAGUUCCUGACUUAUGCUAAACUAUAUGUAUGUGGUUCUUUAGCUGAUAACAAUAGAAGCAGACCAAGAUAAUAUGACUUUCACAAUUGCGUCAAAUGAAAACACAAACAGUUACAUUAGAGAAACAGUACUACUGUAAACACCGGUUAAACCAUAUUUGUUUACAUACUUUGUUUUCAUUUAUUUUCUGUUAUUUCAAUGAGCAAGCACUAACCAAUGUCUAAUCUAUCUAGUCUAAUCUAAUCUAAUCUAAUCUAUCUAACCUAUCUAAUCUAUCUAAUCUAAUCUAUCUCUUCUAUCUAUCUAGUCUAUCUAAUCUAUCUAUUUAGCACUUAGUUAGGGCCCAGUCGCACUAGCAAGAUGUUCAGGAGAUUUCAGGGACAUUUAGGUGGACAAGUUUGUCCCAUGACAUUUAUGCACUAUAUCAGACAUUCUCAAAUUAAGGUCGCACUGGCUGCAACAUCCGUAGAUCACGAGCCCUAAAAAUAACAUCGUAUGUCAUUCAUCUGCGUUUCCUUCGCGCGCGGGAGAUUCGAAGAGCAAAUACUCUCUGAAUGCUGCACGUCUGCAUAUUAAAAGAAAAUGUCUUGAAAAAAAACUGCUGCUUUUCGUUUGGAUGUCCCUAUACAUCGUGCUGCGAUAGUCGGAUGCAUAGCUGUUACUGUUUGCAAAUGUAGUUGUCUAUUAUGCACCGAAGGCGAAGACGUACAUGUUUGGCUUGGAAUUGACCGUUCCUCACGCCGCCAGAUUGUUGGAAAUAAGGGAUUUUGGUAGAGAUUCACCUCUAGCUUUGAAGGCGAAGCGAAGGUUGCUUGCUAUUUGAGACCAUUUACGUUUUUUGUGUGAGUGACGUUCUUUGCACGAUAAGAAUAGAAGAUUUUUUUUCCUCAUGAGUCUGCAUAAUUUUUGGACCAGUUUCUGAUCUGUUCAAACAAACAAACAAAAAAUAAGAAAGAAAGAAAAAAAUGUUCCUACCCAACUGCUUUUUAUACGAACAAAAUCCAUAUUCGUUUCCCCGUGUUUUUUAUUCAGUUUUAUUAUUUUAUUAUUAUGUGUAUGUGAAGGACCGCCUUUUGAUUAUUUCACGCUAGUGAUGACUAAAAUAGAAAUUUAGCCUAAAUCCGCUAAAUAGCGCAAAAAUCGCUGUAAGUUUUUUUUGACGUAUUUCCAGCCCUACUCUGUAUUUUCUAUGCAGAAAAUAGGUAAUUUUUAUUUUUUUUUGUUAUUAACAAUUACCCCCCUUACUAUUAGGUUCUGUUUCGGUUCUGUUUAGGUUCUAAGAAAUUUUAGGUUCUAGGAUCACCACGGUUCUUAAUUUGACCUCCAUUUAAUAUUUGCAAUGGUAGUCUUGAUCAUUUGUUGUUUUUAAAAAAGAAGCCAAUUCGAGCAAAAUUCUUCCAACUGCCGUCGACUUAGUUUGAUCAAAAUUGUAGUUCCAUGAGUCACGAUCGAUCAACAAGCUCACACUUAAGCUAUAUAAUACUAAGUACACGGAAGUAAGUCUUUUACCAGACGGCGCAUACAAUUUAUAGAAUGACUUUUACUUACGUAUAGUAACGUUACACGCUGACUUUCACUUAACACGUUUCACCUUGCUUUUAUAGAUAGAGCUCAUAAAAAAUAAAUGCAAUACAUAAUUGAGUUAAUUCAUUUAUUUAUUGACUUAUCGGGUUAUAUCCUUAUCGUAUACUAUUUAGAAAUCUACAAAACUGCAAGUAUAUAUUUAAUCACCGGGGCCGGGCUGUCAAUUGACUGGUGCAUUAUUUGCGGAUACCUGUAAUGUGUUAUCGAGAACUGCCUCUAAUAAUGAUGAAGCAGAGUUCAGACAUUUUAAAAGUUAUUUGUUUAUGCAAAUUGCCUCUUAGUCGUCGCCUUUGAAGUAUGGAUUGUACCCUAUGCUGUGCUGCUGCCGUCACCUAAUACUGUUUGUUCUCCGAUUUAAAGUUUCUACCUUUCAGUUUAGGACGUGCUUGAAAAUUACCCCGUGUAGCUGGGGAUGUUAAAAGUUUUAGAAUAUACUUCACCUGAAUUAUAUUUUAAUUGAGAUUUGAGGAGCUCGUUCUGCGUCGUCGCUCAGAAAGAUGCAUGCAUGGCUGAUAUACCCAAAGGGAUAAACAAUCACACCGAUGUUCUAGAAAAAAUCCUUUUCAAAUAUGUGGUUUUGGUUUGUAACUGCUAGAACCAUGGGAGUAAUGGCCUUAUCAAAAUUUCUGUACAAAUGAUGUUGAUGAUAUUAAAGUAUAUUAUCCAGACAAGCUUUAAUACACUUUAUUUUCAUGCACGAUCAGAGGGGGUGCUUCAUCUCUUAUAAAGGAAUCCAAAAAUACUAUGCAUAUACAAUGCAUAAAUAUGAUACCUGCGCACAACCCUCAGCCGCGCGUGAAAGUAUAUAUGCAACCAUGGGCUCAUAGAUAGUGAUGACUAAAAUAGAAAUUUAGCCUAAAUCCGCUAAAUAGCGCAAAAAUCGCUGUAAGUUUUUUUUGACGUAUUUCCAGCCCUACUCUGUAUUUUCUAUGCAGAAAAUAGGUAAUUUUUAUUUUUUUUGUUAUUAACAAUUACCCCCCUUACUAUUAGGUUCUGUUUCGGUUCUGUUUAGGUUCUAAGAAAUUUUAGGUUCUAGGAUCACCACGGUUCUUAAUUUGACCUCCAUUUAAUAUUUGCAAUGGUAGUCUUGAUCAUUUGUUGUUUUUAAAAAAGAAGCCAAUUCGAGCAAAAUUCUUCCAACUGCCGUCGACUUAGUUUGAUCAAAAUUGUAGUUCCAUGAGUCACGAUCGAUCAACAAGCUCACACUUAAGCUAUAUAAUACUAAGUACACGGAAGUAAGUCUUUUACCAGACGGCGCAUACAAUUUAUAGAAUGACUUUUACUUAAGUAUAGUAACGUUACACGCUGACUUUCACUUAACACGUUUCACCUUGCUUUUAUAGAUAGAGCUCAUAAAAAAUAAAUGCAAUACAUAAUUGAGUUAAUUCAUUUAUUUAUUGACUUAUCGGGUUAUAUCCUUAUCGUAUACUAUUUAGAAAUCUACAAAACUGCAAGUAUAUAUUUAAUCACCGGGGCCGGGCUGUCAAUUGACUGGUGCAUUAUUUGCGGAUACCUGUAAUGUGUUAUCGAGAACUGCCUCUAAUAAUGAUGAAGCAGAGUUCAGACAUUUUAAAAGUUAUUUGUUUAUGCAAAUUGCCUCUUAGUCGUCGCCUUUGAAGUAUGGAUUGUACCCUAUGCUGUGCUGCUGCCGUCACCUAAUACUGUUUGUUCUCCGAUUUAAAGUUUCUACCUUUCAGUUUAGGACGUGCUUGAAAAUUACCCCGUGUAGCUGGGGAUGUUAAAAGUUUUAGAAUAUACUUCACCUGAAUUAUAUUUUAAUUGAGAUUUGAGGAGCUCGUUCUGCGUCGUCGCUCAGAAAGAUGCAUGCAUGGCUGAUAUACCCAAAGGGAUAAACAAUCACACCGAUGUUCUAGAAAAAAUCCUUUUCAAAUAUGUGGUUUUGGUUUGUAACUGCUAGAACCAUGGGAGUAAUGGCCUUAUCAAAAUUUCUGUACAAAUGAUGUUGAUGAUAUUAAAGUAUAUUAUCCAGACAAGCUUUAAUACACUUUAUUUUCAUGCACGAUCAGAGGGGGUGCUUCAUCUCUUAUAAAGGAAUCCAAAAAUACUAUGCAUAUACAAUGCAUAAAUAUGAUACCUGCGCACAACCCUCAGCCGCGCGUGAAAGUAUAUAUGCAACCAUGGGCUCAUAGAUAGUGAUGACUAAAAUAGAAAUUUAGCCUAAAUCCGCUAAAUAGCGCAAAAAUCGCUGUAAGUUUUUUUUGACGUAUUUCCAGCCCUACUCUGUAUUUUCUAUGCAGAAAAUAGGUAAUUUUUAUUUUUUUUGUUAUUAACAAUUACCCCCCUUACUAUUAGGUUCUGUUUCGGUUCUGUUUAGGUUCUAAGAAAUUUUAGGUUCUAGGAUCACCACGGUUCUUAAUUUGACCUCCAUUUAAUAUUUGCAAUGGUAGUCUUGAUCAUUUGUUGUUUUUAAAAAAGAAGCCAAUUCGAGCAAAAUUCUUCCAACUGCCGUCGACUUAGUUUGAUCAAAAUUGUAGUUCCAUGAGUCACGAUCGAUCAACAAGCUCACACUUAAGCUAUAUAAUACUAAGUACACGGAAGUAAGUCUUUUACCAGACGGCGCAUACAAUUUAUAGAAUGACUUUUACUUAAGUAUAGUAACGUUACACGCUGACUUUCACUUAACACGUUUCACCUUGCUUUUAUAGAUAGAGCUCAUAAAAAAUAAAUGCAAUACAUAAUUGAGUUAAUUCAUUUAUUUAUUGACUUAUCGGGUUAUAUCCUUAUCGUAUACUAUUUAGAAAUCUACAAAACUGCAAGUAUAUAUUUAAUCACCGGGGCCGGGCUGUCAAUUGACUGGUGCAUUAUUUGCGGAUACCUGUAAUGCGUUAUCGAGAACUGCCUCUAAUAAUGAUGAAGCAGAGUUCAGACAUUUUAAAAGUUAUUUGUUUAUGCAAAUUGCCUCUUAGUCGUCGCCUUUGAAGUAUGGAUUGUACCCUAUGCUGUGCUGCUGCCGUCACCUAAUACUGUUUGUUCUCCGAUUUAAAGUUUCUACCUUUCAGUUUAGGACGUGCUUGAAAAUUACCCCGUGUAGCUGGGGAUGUUAAAAGUUUUAGAAUAUACUUCACCUGAAUUAUAUUUUAAUUGAGAUUUGAGGAGCUCGUUCUGCGUCGUCGCUCAGAAAGAUGCAUGCAUGGCUGAUAUACCCAAAGGGAUAAACAAUCACACCGAUGUUCUAGAAAAAAUCCUUUUCAAAUAUGUGGUUUUGGUUUCUAACUGCUAGAACCAUGGGAGUAAUGGCCUUAUCAAAAUUUCUGUACAAAUGAUGUUGAUGAUAUUAAAGUAUAUUAACCAGACAAGCUUUAAUACACUUUAUUUUCAUGCACGAUCAGAGGGGGUGCUUCAUCUCUUAUAAAGGAAUCCAAAAAUACUAUGCAUAUACAAUGCAUAAAUAUGAUACCUGCGCACAACCCUCAGCCGCGCGUGAAAGUAUAUAUGCAACCAUGGGCUCAUAGAUAGUGAUGACUAAAAUAGAAAUUUAGCCUAAAUCCGCUAAAUAGCGCAAAAAUCGCUGUAAGUUUUUUUUGACGUAUUUCCAGCCCUACUCUGUAUUUUCUAUGCAGAAAAUAGGUAAUUUUUAUUUUUUUUGUUAUUAACAAUUACCCCCCUUACUAUUAGGUUCUGUUUCGGUUCUGUUUAGGUUCUAAGAAAUUUUAGGUUCUAGGAUCACCACGGUUCUUAAUUUGACCUCCAUUUAAUAUUUGCAAUGGUAGUCUUGAUCAUUUGUUGUUUUUAAAAAAGAAGCCAAUUCGAGCAAAAUUCUUCCAACUGCCGUCGACUUAGUUUGAUCAAAAUUGUAGUUCCAUGAGUCACGAUCGAUCAACAAGCUCACACUUAAGCUAUAUAAUACUAAGUACACGGAAGUAAGUCUUUUACCAGACGGCGCAUACAAUUUAUAGAAUGACUUUUACUUAAGUAUAGUAACGUUACACGCUGACUUUCACUUAACACGUUUCACCUUGCUUUUAUAGAUAGAGCUCAUAAAAAAUAAAUGCAAUACAUAAUUGAGUUAAUUCAUUUAUUUAUUGACUUAUCGGGUUAUAUCCUUAUCGUAUACUAUUUAGAAAUCUACAAAACUGCAAGUAUAUAUUUAAUCACCGGGGCCGUGCUGUCAAUUGACUGGUGCAUUAUUUGCGGAUACCUGUAAUGCGUUAUCGAGAACUGCCUCUAAUAAUGAUGAAGCAGAGUUCAGACAUUUUAAAAGUUAUUUGUUUAUGCAAAUUGCCUCUUAGUCGUCGCCUUUGAAGUAUGGAUUGUACCCUAUGCUGUGCUGCUGCCGUCACCUAAUACUGUUUGUUCUCCGAUUUAAAGUUUCUACCUUUCAGUUUAGGACGUGCUUGAAAAUUACCCCGUGUAGCUGGGGAUGUUAAAAGUUUUAGAAUAUACUUCACCUGAAUUAUAUUUUAAUUGAGAUUUGAGGAGCUCGUUCUGCGUCGUCGCUCAGAAAGAUGCAUGCAUGGCUGAUAUACCCAAAGGGAUAAACAAUCACACCGAUGUUCUAGAAAAAAUCCUUUUCAAAUAUGUGGUUUUGGUUUCUAACUGCUAGAACCAUGGGAGUAAUGGCCUUAUCAAAAUUUCUGUACAAAUGAUGUUGAUGAUAUUAAAGUAUAUUAUCCAGACAAGCUUUAAUACACUUUAUUUUCAUGCACGAUCAGAGGGGGUGCUUCAUCUCUUAUAAAGGAAUCCAAAAAUACUAUGCAUAUAAAAUGCAUAAAUAUGAUACCUGCGCACAACCCUCAGCCGCGCGUGAAAGUAUAUAUGCAACCAUGGGCUCAUAGAUAGUGAUGACUAAAAUAGAAAUUUAGCCUAAAUCCGCUAAAUAGCGCAAAAAUCGCUGUAAGUUUUUUUUGACGUAUUUCCAGCCCUACUCUGUAUUUUCUAUGCAGAAAAUAGGUAAUUUUUAUUUUUUUUGUUAUUAACAAUUACCCCCCUUACUAUUAGGUUCUGUUUCGGUUCUGUUUAGGUUCUAAGAAAUUUUAGGUUCUAGGAUCACCACGGUUCUUAAUUUGACCUCCAUUUAAUAUUUGCAAUGGUAGUCUUGAUCAUUUGUUGUUUUUAAAAAAGAAGCCAAUUCGAGCAAAAUUCUUCCAACUGCCGUCGACUUAGUUUGAUCAAAAUUGUAGUUCCAUGAGUCACGAUCGAUCAACAAGCUCACACUUAAGCUAUAUAAUACUAAGUACACGGAAGUAAGUCUUUUACCAGACGGCGCAUACAAUUUAUAGAAUGACUUUUACUUAAGUAUAGUAACGUUACACGCUGACUUUCACUUAACACGUUUCACCUUGCUUUUAUAGAUAGAGCUCAUAAAAAAUAAAUGCAAUACAUAAUUGAGUUAAUUCAUUUAUUUAUUGACUUAUCGGGUUAUAUCCUUAUCGUAUACUAUUUAGAAAUCUACAAAACUGCAAGUAUAUAUUUAAUCACCGGGGCCGGGCUGUCAAUUGACUGGUGCAUUAUUUGCGGAUACCUGUAAUGCGUUAUCGAGAACUGCCUCUAAUAAUGAUGAAGCAGAGUUCAGACAUUUUAAAAGUUAUUUGUUUAUGCAAAUUGCCUCUUAGUCGUCGCCUUUGAAGUAUGGAUUGUACCCUAUGCUGUGCUGCUGCCGUCACCUAAUACUGUUUGUUCUCCGAUUUAAAGUUUCUACCUUUCAGUUUAGGACGUGCUUGAAAAUUACCCCGUGUAGCUGGGGAUGUUAAAAGUUUUAGAAUAUACUUCACCUGAAUUAUAUUUUAAUUGAGAUUUGAGGAGCUCGUUCUGCGUCGUCGCUCAGAAAGAUGCAUGCAUGGCUGAUAUACCCAAAGGGAUAAACAAUCACACCGAUGUUCUAGAAAAAAUCCUUUUCAAAUAUGUGGUUUUGGUUUCUAACUGCUAGAACCAUGGGAGUAAUGGCCUUAUCAAAAUUUCUGUACAAAUGAUGUUGAUGAUAUUAAAGUAUAUUAUCCAGACAAGCUUUAAUACACUUUAUUUUCAUGCACGAUCAGAGGGGGUGCUUCAUCUCUUAUAAAGGAAUCCAAAAAUGCUAUGCAUAUACAAUGCAUAAAUAUGAUACCUGCGCACAACCCUCAGCCGCGCGUGAAAGUAUAUAUGCAACCAUGGGCUCAUAGAUAGUGAUGACUAAAAUAGAAAUUUAGCCUAAAUCCGCUAAAUAGCGCAAAAAUCGCUGUAAGUUUUUUUUGACGUAUUUCCAGCCCUACUCUGUAUUUUCUAUGCAGAAAAUAGGUAAUUUUUAUUUUUUUGUUAUUAACAUAUCCCCCCCUUACUAUUAGGUUCUGUUUCGGUUCUGUUUAGGUUCUAAGAAAUUUUAGGUUCUAGGAUCACCACGGUUCUUAAUUUGACCUCCAUUUAAUAUUUGCAAUGGUAGUCUUGAUCAUUUGUUGUUUUUAAAAAAGAAGCCAAUUCGAGCAAAAUUCUUCCAACUGCCGUCGACUUAGUUUGAUCAAAAUUGUAGUUCCAUGAGUCACGAUCGAUCAACAAGCUCACACUUAAGCUAUAUAAUACUAAGUACACGGAAGUAAGUCUUUUACCAGACGGCGCAUACAAUUUAUAGAAUGACUUUUACUUAAGUAUAGUAACGUUACACGCUGACUUUCACUUAACACGUUUCACCUUGCUUUUAUAGAUAGAGCUCAUAAAAAAUAAAUGCAAUACAUAAUUGAGUUAAUUCAUUUAUUUAUUGACUUAUCGGGUUAUAUCCUUAUCGUAUACUAUUUAGAAAUCUACAAAACUGCAAGUAUAUAUUUAAUCACCGGGGCCGGGCUGUCAAUUGACUGGUGCAUUAUUUGCGGAUACCUGUAAUGCGUUAUCGAGAACUGCCUCUAAUAAUGAUGAAGCAGAGUUCAGACAUUUUAAAAGUUAUUUGUUUAUGCAAAUUGCCUCUUAGUCGUCGCCUUUGAAGUAUGGAUUGUACCCUAUGCUGUGCUGCUGCCGUCACCUAAUACUGUUUGUUCUCCGAUUUAAAGUUUCUACCUUUCAGUUUAGGACGUGCUUGAAAAUUACCCCGUGUAGCUGGGGAUGUUAAAAGUUUUAGAAUAUACUUCACCUGAAUUAUAUUUUAAUUGAGAUUUGAGGAGCUCGUUCUGCGUCGUCGCUCAGAAAGAUGCAUGCAUGGCUGAUAUACCCAAAGGGAUAAACAAUCACACCGAUGUUCUAGAAAAAAUCCUUUUCAAAUAUGUGGUUUUGGUUUCUAACUGCUAGAACCAUGGGAGUAAUGGCCUUAUCAAAAUUUCUGUACAAAUGAUGUUGAUGAUAUUAAAGUAUAUUAUCCAGACAAGCUUUAAUACACUUUAUUUUCAUGCACGAUCAGAGGGGGUGCUUCAUCUCUUAUAAAGGAAUCCAAAAAUGCUAUGCAUAUACAAUGCAUAAAUAUGAUACCUGCGCACAACCCUCAGCCGCGCGUGAAAGUAUAUAUGCAACCAUGGGCUCAUAGAUAGUGAUGACUAAAAUAGAAAUUUAGCCUAAAUCCGCUAAAUAGCGCAAAAAUCGCUGUAAGUUUUUUUUGACGUAUUUCCAGCCCUACUCUGUAUUUUCUAUGCAGAAAAUAGGUAAUUUUUAUUUUUUUGUUAUUAACAUAUCCCCCCCUUACUAUUAGGUUCUGUUUCGGUUCUGUUUAGGUUCUAAGAAAUUUUAGGUUCUAGGAUCACCACGGUUCUUAAUUUGACCUCCAUUUAAUAUUUGCAAUGGUAGUCUUGAUCAUUUGUUGUUUUUAAAAAAGAAGCCAAUUCGAGCAAAAUUCUUCCAACUGCCGUCGACUUAGUUUGAUCAAAAUUGUAGUUCCAUGAGUCACGAUCGAUCAACAAGCUCACACUUAAGCUAUAUAAUACUAAGUACACGGAAGUAAGUCUUUUACCAGACGGCGCAUACAAUUUAUAGAAUGACUUUUACUUAAGUAUAGUAACGUUACACGCUGACUUUCACUUAACACGUUUCACCUUGCUUUUAUAGAUAGAGCUCAUAAAAAAUAAAUGCAAUACAUAAUUGAGUUAAUUCAUUUAUUUAUUGACUUAUCGGGUUAUAUCCUUAUCGUAUACUAUUUAGAAAUCUACAAAACUGCAAGUAUAUAUUUAAUCACCGGGGCCGGGCUGUCAAUUGACUGGUGCAUUAUUUGCGGAUACCUGUAAUGCGUUAUCGAGAACUGCCUCUAAUAAUGAUGAAGCAGAGUUCAGACAUUUUAAAAGUUAUUUGUUUAUGCAAAUUGCCUCUUAGUCGUCGCCUUUGAAGUAUGGAUUGUACCCUAUGCUGUGCUGCUGCCGUCACCUAAUACUGUUUGUUCUCCGAUUUAAAGUUUCUACCUUUCAGUUUAGGACGUGCUUGAAAAUUACCCCGUGUAGCUGGGGAUGUUAAAAGUUUUAGAAUAUACUUCACCUGAAUUAUAUUUUAAUUGAGAUUUGAGGAGCUCGUUCUGCGUCGUCGCUCAGAAAGAUGCAUGCAUGGCUGAUAUACCCAAAGGGAUAAACAAUCACACCGAUGUUCUAGAAAAAAUCCUUUUCAAAUAUGUGGUUUUGGUUUCUAACUGCUAGAACCAUGGGAGUAAUGGCCUUAUCAAAAUUUCUGUACAAAUGAUGUUGAUGAUAUUAAAGUAUAUUAUCCAGACAAGCUUUAAUACACUUUAUUUUCAUGCACGAUCAGAGGGGGUGCUUCAUCUCUUAUAAAGGAAUCCAAAAAUGCUAUGCAUAUACAAUGCAUAAAUAUGAUACCUGCGCACAACCCUCAGCCGCGCGUGAAAGUAUAUAUGCAACCAUGGGCUCAUAGAUAGGGGCGUCACUCUCCAGUAUUCUGUGCUUAGUCUCUGCGGUCCUUCGCACAGAAAAUGUUUAUAUUGUAUAUUCUACAUAAACAACACACAAGGUGUGAGGAGUGACGCGUACCAAUUUAUUGGAGACGAUAUUACAAGUAUAGAUGUAAUGUAAAAUAUACAAACAUGUUCAUGUAUCAACUAGCAGAAGACUGGGGAAAAACAACCCCGGAAAAAACGACGCGUUAUGCAAACUGAAGCAGAUGCUCCGCCUAUUCUCAAAGAAUGUAAGCCAAUACUACCUGGGAGUACGCCUAUAGCGCGGAACUUGGCAAGGACCGUUUCCAUGAGCCUAGAAUAAGAAAGUUGGGUGCCAGUUUUUGUAACUGGCUUACGAUCCCUGCGCUUGCAGCCUCCAAAAAUACAACGCAAAAAUUUGCUUUCACAUGGGUUGACAGCGCCACAAGCGUUAUGAAAGUAAUUUAGGCUAUAGAAAGAUUGCUGAAUGGUAAAUAAGGAACAACCCAACUGAACCAAAAAUAUAAAGGAUCAGGCGAAAUUAAUGUCAGUGGCUGGGAAAUAUCUAAUCUCGGGAAAACUGGAACCCCAGCUUUUCCAUUUUUUUUUUUUUGUUGAAAUAACCAAAGUACGGCUUGAGGCUACUUGGAGACUUGGAAUCCGAAAUGAUUCUGGGGAUGCGCAAGGCGAGUUGGCUUAGUACUGGAUCAGAUGGUGCCAUAGCUUCAUGAAAUCUAGGAAUUGUAAAUAAUAAGACAGAUGGUUAACAUGGUACAGGUUUUAUUGGCUCAAAAUGAAGUCUAAAUAGUAACACUAUGUACAGAAAAAUAUUAAGAGAUAAUCAAUCGCUACAAAGCGUUCGUUACUCUCUAUAAAGCGUUCGUUACUCGCUAUAAAUCGUUUGUUCUUUGCUAUAAAGCAUCCAUUCAUCGCUAUAAAGCGUUCAUUUAUCGCUAUAAAGCAUUCAUUUAUCGCUAUAAAGCGUUCAUUUAUUGCUAUAAAGCAUUCAUUUGUUGCUAUAAAACGUUCAUUCAUAGCUAUAUAUGAAGUGUUCUUUAUCGCUAUAAAUAAUCAUUAUUAGCUAUAAAGCUUACUAUUCUUUACUUGGUAAGCAACAUUCAUGUUCAGCUAUGGAGCAUUGGUGAUCCUAGUUGAUAAGGAAAACCUAGCGUCUAGGUAAACAACUAAGACUGGAGACAUAAAGGAAUGCAUACCAAAAAUGGUAGGAAAAUUAAGAUGGGUGCUGUGAAAAAUCCCAGUAGGAUCCGAAAAUUCAAUAAUUUGAAAAACUGAAUGUCUAGGGUCUCCGGAAGGAAAAAGAAAAGGCCAAAAGCUAGCAGAAGUCCACUUGGGAACAAUGAUAACGCCUGUCGCACCAGACACUUCUAAGUGACUGAUAGCACGUGAAACUAGAUACACGGGUGGUACCAAAUAGUUAUUAACGCCUUCCCAAGAAGUAGAAAAGGCGUCUACACCUUCACAACCAGGACACCAAAACUUGGAGUAGAAACGUGCGCACUUAUUUGUGAGUGAAGAUGCGAAACGGUCGAUUUCGAACGGCCCGAAGAGCUUACUAACGUGGGAAAAGAAUGUUUGAGAAAUAGCCCAGUCAUCAUAGUCAACAAUACGACUUAUGGAAUCGGCAUAUUCAUUAAGCGAACGAGGGAUCCACUCGACUUCAAGAAAAAUGUUGUGAAGAAAACAAUACUCCAGAAUCUGAAGCGCUAACGAGUGGAGACGUAACGAGUUACUUCCCCUAGCUGUGAUAAUAGCAGCAUUGCGGUUAUCUGUAAACACUUUGACAGUUUUACCAAGAAGACAGUGCCUACACGAUCUGAGGCCGUAUAAAAUUGCGAGUAACUCUCUGGCAUUGCUGUCUAGAUUAACCUCUAAAGUAGAGAAAGCACGGAAGUAUAAAUCAAAUUCUUCUGAAUCAAUUUGUCUUACACAUCCUCCACAGGACAACGCGCUGGCGUCGGAAUAAACAAUAGUUGUAGGUAUUGAGUACUCUGUUAGGGCACGCCCAUUGAGCUUAUUACAGUUAUCGAGCCAAAACUCGAUUUCUCUAGAACACUCUAAAGAGUAUUUGUAUGCAGAAAAAUCAAAUAUAAGAUCCCAUUGAUCACCGUGUAGCUUGACAAAAGACUGCAAAAACUUGGACAUGAGGAAAGCAAUGUUCCCGACUCCCAUUUCAAGAGAGACGAUUUUCCCCGUAACAGAAGCGACUUCACGAGGGGUAACAAAUGGGAACUUAGCUCUGAGAGAAUUGAGUGCUUUAAUAAGGCCAUUGAUGCGCCUAAUAGGAAUAGAAACUACAUUAGAGUCAAGAUCCCAAAGUACCCCAAGCCACUCUAAGGAUUGCUGAGGAAUCCAGACAGACUUUUGAUCGUUAAUAACCACGCCUGCUGAAGCGAGGUCUUGUUGGAUUAUGCAAGACGCGCGCUGUGCUUGAAUAAAGGUAGGAAGGCAAACAACUCCAUCGUCUAAAUAAAGAACGAUGGGAAUACCUUGAGAACGCCAGUGCCGAACUAAGGGACAAAACAAUUUAGUGAAUAAAUAAGGCGCAGAGGCUAAGCCAAAAGGCAAGACUGUAAAAACAAAAUAUAUCGGGAAUGGUGAAUUAAGGAGAGGCCAUUGAAAACCAAGAAAAAUACAAAAAUUCCGGGCAAAUAUUGACAUGAUGGUAACCAGAUUUCAUGUCAAAUUUUAACAUGUAACCAGAAAGAUGAAUAUAAUUCAGAAAAGUACGAGCGACAUAAGGCGGGCGGUUGACUUCAAGUACAGAACGUGCUUGAAUGAGAUCCAAAAUGGCUUGAUCAACAAAAUCAGAAUGGGCGAGUGACGACUUAUUAUUGGGUAAGACAACACUAGAGGGAUAUUUCUCAAAGGGAAUUCUAUAACCACUACAAAUAACAUCUAAAAUCCAAUUGGAUGCAUCGAUGCUAACCCAAAAAGGUGCGUGAAUCUUAAGUCUAUCCUUGACUGACGCUAUACUUUAAAUCCCUAAGAUACGAAGGCUCAUUGGCGACUUGGCUGGGGAGGGAAUGUUGUUGUGCUGGUUGAGGCGAAAUGUUGUUUGCCAAGUCGUACGGGGCAAUCGCGCCACCAGUGUGAGGGCGAGCCACAGUAUCUACAUGGAGCGGAUCGGGAGCUGGAGUAUUGGCCUCCGAACUCGCAAUGGUUGUAGUAAGGUCUGGAAGGCGGUUGCUGUCCGUCACUUGUGUAGGUUGAUUGCCAUGGUUGGUAGGAGGACUAAGGUCUAUAUUGAGAACCUCGGAAAUUUCUGCCUUGAAGAUUUUCCACAUUUCUCCUACGUCGAAUUUUCUCUUGAUCCUUCAAAACCGGUUUUUCUGCAGACUUAAACUUUUUAUCGUCUUCUUCUCCCAAAGAAAUCAGGUUUGACUCGUAGUGCUUCACAGUUAACCAGCCUCCCUCGGAAGAAUCGGCUGAACGUAUUUUUCUGUUUCUUUCCUUUAGCAGGUUUAUUGCUUCUUCCAGGACUAAUAGGGCACUUGGAUUAGAAGUAAUGAGCUCUUUGAGUACUUAAGCUUUUCGAUUACUUCUCGAUUGAAUUUAUAAUUUCUGUCGUCGCCGGGAUGUUUUAACGUGAUUUGGCUGAGCUCCUUCACUUGCUUUGACGUAAAAAGAGCCUCGUCGGCAGAUUCCUUGGCUUUGUGGAAAUCAGAAAGUAUUUUGUUCUGAUGUGAGGACAGUUCAUCAAGAACAAAUUUCUUAAAAUCGGAUAAGUCUUCCUUAGAAGCAGGUUCGUCUCCCAUAAUCGCACGCCGAAACAACGACGCGUUAUGCAAACUGGUAAGGUCAAGUGAAAGACGAAUGUAAUUGGAAAUUAAACGAGACUUACCUGGAAAUCGAAGUUUGAUUGUGAUUCUAUGAGUCAUCAGUAGGGAGUGGUACGAGAGAGCGUAGCGCCAAGCAUCAAUCAGGUUUUAGAGUGCACAAUAAUCGCCUCAAUAACUACAGAGCCAAUACCCAGAGGGUGGGGCAUAACAAGGGUGGGCGUACCACUCCCUACACUCCCGGCUGAUGACUCAUAGAAUCACAACCAAACUUCGGCUUCCAGGUAAGUCUCGUUUAAUUUCCAAUUCUAUUUCGUCAUCAGCCUAGGUCGUGAGGGACUGGUACGAGAUUUCAGAGCAGUUAUUGAGGCAUCGUUGAAAAAUAAGAUGCGGGAACAGAUGUUACCCAUGAUGCAACAGUACCGGACAUUAAUAACACAACCAGUCUGUGCAAAAUUCACUUCAAUAAAACAGUGGUUAUAACAACAAGCGGGAUGUACAUUAUACAACAUCUAGGCUGUAGAUCCAUAAACAAUAAAAAUGUGGUAGCAUGUUUCA